AAAACCUGUUGGUCUUUUAGCUCUUUUGUAGUUAAAUCUGGAUGUACCUCAAAAGACAAGACUGUGGUGAUAAGAUGAUUUCCUC
ensembl:misc_RNA